rnacentral:rRNA from 1 species
GACGAACGCUGGCGGCGUGCCUAAUACAUGCAAGUCGAGCGGACCGGAUUGGGGCUUGCCUUGAUUCGGUCAGCGGCGGACGGGUGAGUAACACGUGGGCAACCUGCCCGCAAGACCGGGAUAACUCCGGGAAACCGGAGCUAAUACCGGAUAACACCGAAGACCGCAUGGUCUUCGGUUGAAAGGCGGCCUUUGGGCUGUCACUUGCGGAUGGGCCCGCGGCGCAUUAGCUAGUUGGUGAGGUAACGGCUCACCAAGGCGACGAUGCGUAGCCGGCCUGGGAGGGUGACCGGCCACACUGGGACUGAGACACGGCCCAGACUCCUACGGGAGGCAGCAGUAGGGAAUCUUCCGCAAUGGGCGAAAGCCUGACGGAGCGACGCCGCGUGAGCGAAGAAGGCCUUCGGGUCGUAAAGCUCUGUUGUGAGGGACGAAGGAGCGUCGUUCGAAGAGGGCGGCGCGGUGACGGUACCUCACGAGAAAGCCCCGGCUAACUACG